ACAUAUGGAGUACAUUACUACACUGUUAAGGUACAACUUUAUCACCUAGUCACACACUCUCUCUCUUGGGGUUGGGGGCUGAGUGGGUGGGUGACUUUUUUUGGGGGGCUAUGAAAUACACACACAACCUCUGAUGUGUGUGUCUUCUCGCUGUGCGUGUCAGGAUAAGCAGGGAAUUCCGUGGUGGCUGGGACUGAGUUAUAAAGGAAUCUUCCAGUAUGACUACCAAGACAAGGUCAAGCCCAGGAAGGUGUUCCAAUGGCGUCAGCUGGAGAACCUCUACUUCAGAGAGAAGAAGUUCUCAGUGGAAGUUCACGACCCCAGGAGGUAAAUCUAUAUCACAACUCUGUGUGUGUGUGUACGUGUGUGUGUGUGUACUUGCAUUCCUGCGCACAUGUUUGUUUCAGCACUGUAAAUAGUUUUGUAUCACAAAAGUAGUAAAGUGUAGUAAUAAUAUAUAUAAUAUAUAUGACACAUAGCUAAUGUUAGUUAGUUUUGUUGAUGAUACUUCAUUACUGCUGGAGGUGUGAAGGAUGUAGUAUGUAGGAUAUAUGAAGCUUGGAUAGAUGCAAUGUAUAAUGUCUUUAUUGUCCCCCAUUGUCAAUGCUGAUAGCUGCCUUGUUUAAAUGUUAGCAGACUUAACAAACACAGAGCAGAGAUGGUCAUGGGUUGGAGAGGUGUUGUUGUUGUUGGCAACAAUAUAUUAAAGAGUAGUAGAGGCAGCAAGAGAUCCCCAGUGGGGCAUGUGAUUGAACAGAGUAGCUUGUGAACACAUACAGACAAACCGUGAGAGAGGCAUAUCCGCUUCAGUUUAUCUUGGCGUUAGAGUGAGAUUCAGAGG
ensembl:lncRNA